CGCGGCCUAUCAGCUUGUUGGUGGGGUAGUGGCCUACCAAGGCGACGACGGGUAGCCGGCCUGAGAGGGUGACCGGCCACACUGGGACUGAGACACGGCCCAGACUCCUACGGGAGGCAGCAGUGGGGAAUAUUGCGCAAUGGGCGGAAGCCUGACGCAGCGACGCCGCGUGGGGGAUGACGGCCUUCGGGUUGUAAACCUCUUUCAGCAGGGACGAAGCGGAAGUGACGGUACCUGCAGAGGAAGCACCGGCCAACUACGUGCCAGCAGCCGCGGUAAUACGUAGGGUGCAAGCGUUGUCCGGAAUUAUUGGGCGUAAAGAGCUCGUAGGCGGUUUGUUGCGUCGGCUGUGAAAUCCCGAGGCUCAACCUCGGGUCUGCAGUCGAUACGAGCAAACUAGAGUGUUGCAGGGGAGACUGGAAUUCCUGGUGUAGCGGUGAAAUGCGCAGAUAUCAGGAGGAACACCGGUGGCGAAGGCGGGUCUCUGGGCAACAACUGACGCUGAGGAGCGAAAGCGUGGGGAGCGAACAGGAUUAGAUACCCUGGUAGUCCACGCCGUAAACGUUGGGCGCUAGGUGUGGGGCUCAUUCCACGAGUUCCGUGCCGCAGCUAACGCAUUAAGCGCCCCGCCUGGGGAGUACGG
rnacentral:rRNA from 1 species